GGCUGCCGCCGGCUCCCGGCGCUGGCAGAGCCACCGGUCGGCCCCCCCGAGCCGAGCCGAGCCGAGCCGAGCCGGGGUGCCCGGCUCCCGCUGUGCUGUGUCCCAAGGGCAGGCGUGGGGGGGACGCGGUGGCACAACCGGGCCGUGCCUGGAGCCACAGUGCCGCCCGCCGGGCACCGCGGCCCGGAGGAGAGAGAUGCUGGACGCAGCCCCCCCCAGCCCAGAUUGGAGCGGAGCACUGGAUCCGUCACGUCCCCAACACCCCCGUGCUAUUCCAGCCGUUAUACCCAAUGGAGACCCUGGCAGUGCAGUGCUGGAUUUAACACACACACACACACACACCCCAUAGGUCCUGAGCCCCCCAGAAGGCAGCAGGCAGGGAAGAGCUGGCAGGGGCUGCCAUCGGCUGCAGCACAUCAGAGCUGCGUGCCACCGCCAGGGUACGGACGGCAUCUGGAAAUGCUGAUGUGCCAAGAGCCCUUUCCCUGGUUUAUGUGGCAAGUGGGUCUGUUCAGCUGGAAAUACAUAAAACCCCUUAUAGCUAAUUAAAUAAAGCCUGAAUGUGA